rnacentral:rRNA from 1 species
CGCAAGAUUGAAACUCAAAGGAAUUGACGGGGGCCCGCACAAGCGGUGGAGCAUGUGGUUUAAUUGGAAGCAACGCGAAGAACCUUACCAGGUCUUGACAUCCUCUGACAAUCCUAGAGAUAGGACGUCCCCUUCGGGGGCAGAGUGACAGGUGGUGCAUGGUUGUCGUCAGCUCGUGUCGUGAGAUGUUGGGUUAAGUCCCGCAACGAGCGCAACCCUUGAUCUUAGUUGCCAGCAUUCAGUUGGGCACUCUAAGGUGACUGCCGGUGACAAACCGGAGGAAGGUGGGGAUGACGUCAAAUCAUCAUGCCCCUUAUGACCUGGGCUACACACGUGCUACAAUGGACAGAACAAAGGGCAGCGAAACCGCGAGGUUAAGCCAAUCCCACAAAUCUGUUCUCAGUUCGGAUCGCAGUCUGCAACUCGACUGCGUGAAGCUGGAAUCGCUA